GUCGAGAUGAAAAGCACAUUAUCCUGGUCCUGGAGUUUAUAAUCCAGCUCACCCUGCAGGCCAAGAAAAAAAAUGAAAAAUUGUUUAAAUGUCAUUUCCAAAUACAAGCUGCAAAGAGAAAACAGCUCAUAAAAAGAUGAUCAAAUAAAGGGGACGCAGGAGCAAUCCCAAAGCUCAUUUGAAUGAAAAGGCUCCAUUCCAAGGAUGCUCAGGAUGACUGCAUUUCCGUGCCAUGCAGAAAAGCCAGGGGACCUGGCACACGCUUCAGCUCACAAAGAUCCGUGACGAAUGUUAAACACCCCCAGCGCCACCCCGCAGUCAGGGAUGGCUUGCACAGCUCACUCUGCUCCAUUUCUCUUGCCUUCCUUUUUUUUUUUCUACCCCCCCUCCACAAGACUGGCCCCAUUUCGAUAAUAAAAAUACAUUUCCCAGAAGAA